GGGGAUUUACCUCACUGGCUCAAGGGCUUGCCUGGCAAGCAUGAGGUCCUGAAUUCAAUCCUUAGUACCCCCU
rnacentral:tRNA from 1 species